GGGGAAGGGGAAGGGGGCGCACCCGAGGAGCAAAGGGCAGUGGCACAUUGCCUGCCUUUUAGGGCCUGUGGGAAGUGGAGUAGCCCCGCCCCAGGGUAUCUGGCUUCCCCCGCCCCGCCUUUUCCUUCCUGCUUGCCCCAAAGCCAUGUUUCCGUCUAGGCCAAUCCCCCCUCAACUGCUUUGCUGCAUCGGGUCGGGCAUCCUUCUGGAGAGGGCCAGCCAAGCAGGAGUCCCAUGAGCAUUUAAGUGUCUUCUUACCUCCUUGGGCAAGCUUUCCUCAAAACGAACCCCUUCCAGGACACUCCUUUCGGGCCCAGGGCUGGGCCCCACCCUUCAAAAUCCAUGGGACCAUAAUCAGCUCACGCACAGAGUGCAGGCAUCGUGUCAGCAAGAGGAAAUGCACCUUGGCGCAUCUCUCUCUGGGAUCCCUCAGCCUGAGGACGGUGCUGUUGGCUCAGCUGUGCAAUAUCCAUUAUGCCUGCCUACGCUGGACGGAGCCGGGGCGUCCGUGUGCCACAGGAUCCCCAAAUCCCGCGGAGCCGUCCUACCAGCCUUGGGUGAUGUGAUUCUUGAGGAUGGAAAGGGCAGGAGUGCCAGGGACUCUCUCUGGGUGCGUGUGCGAGUCAGAGAAGGGUGCUGUUGCCCUCCGUUCCGUGUCUGAGCUGGUAGAAUCUCAGUGUGUCUUCCUGGAGUCCAAGGCACCAAGAGUGUUGCAACAUAGCGUGUUGUGAAGACCAAAGCCUGCCCAGCAUCUUGGCUGUUUACAGCCAAGAAGGAGAGGGCCAACAGUGGAAACGCAGGUGCUGCUAAACCGUUUCUGCAGCCAUUGUAAAGCAAUUACAGUGAAGUUUAACUGCUGAGUUUCCAGGAGAGAAAUGAUCUAAUAAUUGCACCCGGUUGAUGGCUGGAGGAGAAUUGACAGCUAACGCUGCAGGAAGAUUGAGUUCAGGAAAACAGGAGUUUCCAGAGUCUCCCCCUCACUCGGAAGGAGCAUCCGGUCACUCACGCCUGAGUCACCUCCUGUUUGGAUUAUUGUAACGUGCUCUAUGUGGGGUUGCCCUUAAGACCAUCCAGCGGCACCACAGUUCGGGUGUCCCAUGGCUCACCCGAGUAGCACCACUGCUGCGUGAGCUGCACUGGCUCCCAGCUGCAUUCUAGGUGCAGUUCGGGGUGCUGGUUGUCACCUUUAAAGCCCUACGUGGCACAGACCAGCCUCUCCCUGAGGGUAUUUGCCCGUUAAACAGGGUGGCUGUGCUCCAGGUCCCCUCCCUUAAAAGUUGCCACCUGAUGGGACCUCAGAAGCGCACCUUCCUGGUGGCCACCCCAGCCCUUUGGAACAGCCUCCCACCGGAGGUCCGAGGGAUCCCUGCCCUUCUAGCCUUCCGGAAGGCCAUGAAGACAAGCCUUGGGCUAGGAGGACAGUUGAGCCAGGAGGCUGCUUGGUCUGGCGCCUGGGGGGAAAAGUGCCUUUGUUUUUAUCCUGUUUUUAGGGAUUGUCGUGAGCUGCCUGGAAUCGUUGUAUGAGAUAGGUAGCCAUACGAGUUCUGUUAAUAAUAAUAAUAAUACAUUUGGCCAAGCCAGGA